GAUGAACGCUGGUGGCGUGCCUAAUACAUGCAAGUCGAGCGAACGGACGAGAAGCUUGCUUCUCUGAUGUUAGCGGCGGACGGGUGAGUAACACGUGGAUAACCUACCUAUAAGACUGGGAUAACUUCGGGAAACCGUAGCUAAUACCGGAUAAUAUUUUGAACCGCAUGGUUCAAAAGUGAAAGACGGUCUUGCUGUCACUUAUAGAUGUAUCCGCGCUGCAUUAGCUAGUUGGUAAGGUAACGGCUUACCAAGGCAACGAUGCAUAGCCGACCUGAGAGGGUGAUCGGCCACACUGGAACUGAGACACGGUCCAGACUCCUACGGGAGGCAGCAGUAGGGAAUCUUCCGCAAUGGGCGAAAGCCUGACGGAGCAACGCCGCGUGAGUGAUGAAGGUCUUCGGAUCGUAAAACUCUGUUAUUAGGGAGGAACAUAUGUGUAAGUAACUGUGCACAUCUUGACGGUACCUAAUCAGAAAGCCACGGCUAACUACGUG
rnacentral:rRNA from 1 species